GACGAACCGUGCGAACGUUGUUCGGAAUCACUGGGCUUAAAGGGCGCGUAGGCGGCUCGCGAGGUCGGGGGUGAAAUCCCACGGCUCAACCGUGGAAGUGCAUCCGAAACUGCAUCGCUGGAGUCUCGGAGAGGAAGGUGGAAUGCUUGGUGUAGAGGUGAAAUUCGUAGAUAUCAAGCAGAACACCUGCGGCGAAGGCGGCCUUCUGGACGAUGACUGACGCUGAGACGCGAAAGCGUGGGGAGCAAACAGG
rnacentral:rRNA from 1 species